rnacentral:rRNA from 1 species
GACGAACGCUGGCGGCGUGCUUAACACAUGCAAGUCGAACGGAAAGGCCCUGCUUUUGUGGGGUGCUCGAGUGGCGAACGGGUGAGUAACACGUGAGUAACCUGCCCUUGACUUUGGGAUAACUUCAGGAAACUGGGGCUAAUACCGGAUAGGAGCUCCUGCUGCAUGGUGGGGGUUGGAAAGUUUCGGCGGUUGGGGAUGGACUCGCGGCUUAUCAGCUUGUUGGUGGGGUAGUGGCUUACCAAGGCUUUGACGGGUAGCCGGCCUGAGAGGGUGACCGGCAUGGUCGGGACGGGGCUGGGGACGGGCCGAGUAGGGGGGGGAGGAGGGGAGAAAAUUGGAGAGGGGGGGGCGGCCGGAGGGAGCAAGGCGGGUGGGGGGAUAGGGGCCUUGGGGUUGUCAACCUCGUCCGCUGGUGAGGGGGGGGGAGGGAGGGUGAGGGGGAAAGAAGCCUCGGCAAGAUGGGUGCAAGAAGCCGGGGUAAUAGUGGAGAGCAGACGUCUGAAC